rnacentral:rRNA from 1 species
AGCGAACGCUGGCGGCAGGCCUAACACAUGCAAGUCGAACGAACUCUUCGGAUUUAGUGGCGGACGGGUGCGUAACACGUGGGAACGUGCCUUUAGGUUCGGAAUAACUCAGGGAAACUUGUGCUAAUACCGAAUGUGCCCUUCGGGGGAAAGAUUUAUCGCCUUUAGAGCGGCCCGCGUCUGAUUAGCUAGUUGGUGAGGUAAAAGCUUACCAAGGCGACGAUCAGUAGCUGGUCUGAGAGGAUGAUCAGCCACAUUGGGACUGAGACACGGCCCAAACUCCUACGGGAGGCAGCAGUGGGGAAUCUUGCGCAAUGGGCGAAAGCCUGACGCAGCCAUGCCGCGUGAAUGAUGAAGGUCUUAGGAUUGUAAAAUUCUUUCACCGGGGACGAUAAUGACGGUACCCGGAGAAUAAGCCCCGGCUAACUUCGUG